GAUGAACGCUAGCUACAGGCUUAACACAUGCAAGUCGAGGGACCGGCGCACGGGUGAGUAACACGUAUCCAACCUGCCCUUUACUCGGGGAUAGCCUUUCGAAAGAAAGAUUAAUACCCGAUAUAAAGGAUGGGGAUGCGUUCCAUUAGGUUGUUGGUGAGGUAACGGCUAGGCAAGCCUUCGAGGCAUAGGGGUUCUGAGGGUCAGGUCCACCACAAUGGAGCUGAGACACGGUCCAAACUCGUACGGGAGGGUGCAGUGAGGAAUACUAGUCAAUGAGCGGUAGCCUGAACCAGCCGAGUAGCGUGAAAGAUGAAGGCUUUUUGGACCUAAACUUCUUUUGUAUAAGAAUCUGUAUUAUCUGAAUAAGGAUCGGCUAACUCCGUGCCAGCAGCCGCGGUAAUUC
rnacentral:rRNA from 1 species